GCCGAAGGGAAACCGAGUCUUAACCGGGCGUUAAGUUGCAGGGUAUAGACCCGAAACCCGGUGAUCUAGCCAUGGGCAGGUUGAAGGUUGGGUAACACUAACUGGAGGACCGAACCGACUAAUGUUGAAAAAUUAGCGGAUGACUUGUGGCUGGGGGUGAAAGGCCAAUCAAACCGGGAGAUAGCUGGUUCUCCCCGAAAGCUAUUUAGGUAGCGCCUCGUGAAUUCAUCUCCGGGGGUAGAGCACUGUUUCGGCAAGGGGGUCAUCCCGACUUACCAACCCGAUGCAAACUGCGAAUACCGGAGAAUGUUAUCACGGGAGACACACGGCGGGUGCUAACGUCCGUCGUGAAGAGGGAAACAACCCAGACCGCCAGCUAAGGUCCCAAAGUCAUGGUUAAGUGGGAAACGAUGUGGGAAGGCCCAGACAGCCAGGAUGUUGGCUUAGAAGCAGCCAUCAUUUAAAGAAAGCGUAAUAGCUCACUGGUCGAGUCGGCCUGCGCGGAAGAUGUAACGGGGCUAAACCAUGCACCGAAGCUGCGGCAGCGACACUGUGUGUUGUUGGGUAGGGGAGCGU
rnacentral:rRNA from 1 species